rfam:Picea glauca, whole genome shotgun sequence.
GCAAUGGUGUCUUUAGACACUACCAAUAUUUUUUGAAGUUUAUUU